rnacentral:rRNA from 1 species
GACGAACGCUGGCGGCGUGCCUAAUACAUGCAAGUCGAACGCAGUGGGGACGGGUUAGUAACACGUGGGUAACCUCCCAUCAGAAGGGAUAACACUUGGAAACAGGUGCUAAACCGAUACUGAUGGAUGGACGCGCGGUGCAUUAGCUAGUUGGUGAGGUAACGGCUCACCUAGGCAACGAUGCAUAGCCGGCCUGAGAGGGUGAUCGGCCACACGGGAACUGAGACACGGCCCAGACUCCUACGGGAGGCAGCAGUGGGGAAUCUUGGGCAAUGGGCGAAAGUCUGACAGAGCCACGCCGCGUGAGUGAAGAAGGUUUUCGGAUCGUAAAGCUCUGUCGUUGGGGAAGCGGUAUCUACACAGAAAGCCACGGCUAACUCCGUGCCAGCAGCCGCGGUAAUAC